ACGGCCAUACCAUGCUGAAUAUACUGGUUCUCGUUAGAUCACCGAAGUCAAGCAUCAUUGGGCGCGGUCAGUACUUGGGUGGGUGGCCACCUGGGAACACCGCGUGCCGUU
rnacentral:rRNA from 1 species